rnacentral:rRNA from 1 species
AUGGUGUGGAUGAGAGCUCAAGCGAAACAUCUAUGCUUUGGCACCGGCAGCGACGAGGCACGUGGGUGCCGCUUUACUCUUGAGGAUGUUAUUGUGGGUCCAUCCCUAGCUAGGGCUCUAGGUGAAAACAUUGGUAUAUUCAGACUCAGAAAAAGUGUUGCUUUACAUCUUGGCCCUCUUGGGGGCGUUGUCAUGGAGCUCGGGCGCCAACGUCGGAUCUUGACGUUGGAUUCUGGCCAUCAUGAGCUAUCAUCCGACGGCAUUUACAUGUCAUAUUCUUUUAUUGGGGCGGUUUCUCUUGUCUGUUUAUGCGGUCUGCUUCAUAUGAGGGUUUCUUGA